GACAGAGGGUGCAAGCGUUGUUCGGAAUUACUGGGCGUAAAGCGCGUGUAGGCGGCUCGGUAAGUCGGAUGUGAAAGCCCUGGGCUUAACCUAGGAAGUGCAUUCGAAACUCCCGAGCUUGAGUUCUGGAGAGGAAGGCGGAAUUCUCGGUGUAGAGGUGAAAUUCGUAGAUAUGGGGAGGAACACCGGUGGCGAAGGCGGCCACCUGGACGGUAACUGACGCUGAGACGCGAAAGCGUGGGGAGCAAACAGG
rnacentral:rRNA from 1 species